rnacentral:lncRNA from 1 species
UAAUUGUAUCACAAUUUGAAGAAAUAUAUUAUGUCGCAAAAAUCAUUUAUGUCGUAGCACAAAAUUGCUGUACCACAAAGCUAAGCUGAGUUGUCGACAAGUAUUUAUCUCUAUCUUAAAGAUUUCUAAAGCUGAGUUCUCUAUAAUAUAAUGGAGGACCAAACCAGAGAACCCAAUUUCUAAUCCGAUCAGUUAUGAGCUCUUAGAAAGAUAUGACAAUGGAGGGCCAUUCGAAUAUCAUUGUACCUCGAGAAUCAUUCCUUCUCUAUGUACACACUUUCCUUAUCCAUCUCUUUUAAUCCUCUUUUUUAUCGUCUAUUUUAUUAUUAUAUUAUUGAUUUGCUUCACUGAUUAGCAGAAUCCUGCGAUUAGAUUCAUGGGAAGACUAUUUCACCAAACUUAAUUAUGGACAAAUAUAGUUUAUUAGAUAAAUUUGAAAAGCUCGGUUCUAGGCAAUUCGCUUGUGUGUUGGCCUGCGAAGAUCUCAACAUGUUUGAUCUCUUCUUUUUUAUGUAUUCUAGAUUACUUAUAAGUUAUAAUGUAGAGAAAAUCGGAAGUGUGCUGCUACGGGUUUCAAAUCAAACACAUGAUACUGCUCCGACUUUCAAAUCCUAUGGGGUUCCUCGUGGCUCAACUGGUAUGCCCUUCUAUUACAAUUAUUUAUAAUAUUCUUUCUUUUUCUCAUGAUUUUGAGUGGAAUUGCGAAAAGUGUUGACUUUAAUCUUGUUUGUUUGCGGGUAUUUGUUUGUUUGUUUAAUCCUUGUGUUUUAUUUGGUUUUUGGUGUUUUUGGUGAUUUUUCGUGUUAUAUGUGAGACGCUUCGUUGUUCAUUUCGCAUACGACGAGGCAACUUGACCGAUAGCAUAGCGGUGGUGGCUGAUGGUGGCGGUGAUGACGGCGGUUUCAGGACGGGAUCCGGUUCAGAAAGGAAAGCGCGCUAAUUGUGCCUUAAUUGAGGGCGGUAAUUGUGCCUCGUUAAUUGUGCAUGUUUAUUGAGGGCGUAAAUUGUGGCUCAAUUAUUGAGGGCGUAAAUUGUGCCUCUUUAUUUAGGACGUUAAUUGGGCCUUAUUUAAGGGCGUUAAUUGUGUCUUAAUUAAGGAUAUUAAUAUUUUAUUAUUAUGCCUUAAUUAAGAGCUUAAUUGUCUCAAUCAUGAGUUAUCAUGAUUGUGGGAAUAUUUUGAUGUAAUGUGUUAAAUAUAUCAACUUAUAUUCUUCUUGUUUCUCUUGUUUUAUUUUCAGGAUUCUUGGAAGAAGACCGGUUUUUCUUAGCGGACAUUAAAGUUUUAUUGUCCAAAUUGCCCCGGUCAUCUUGCAUGUCCGACGGUUAGAUAAUAAGUUUUCUUGAAUGAAAGAAUUAUCACGGUGAAUUGCCGAUUCUCGUUGAGAUUUAUUCUCAUUUCCAAAAAAAAAAAAAAAAAACUGAGUUCUCUGGAGAAUAAUUUUGUUAUCGGAAACUAUUCUAUCCUCUCAAUUAUUAUUUUCAAUUCAACUCGUAAGUGUAAAAGCACCCGUAAUACCAUCCGAACCCUCCUUUAAUCAAUUCAAUAGUAAAAGCAAUCUUAUUUGUUAAUUAUUUAUAUACGCUGAUUUAUAGGGAAAAAUCGUUUAUGGAAGAGUUCAGACGAAAUUAAAACAAUGAUCUUGUGGAGAUCGAUCAUAAGAUUAAUUCAACUAAUGGGAAUUUUCAGGAAAAUGAAUAAAACCGA